AUUGAACGCUGGCGGCAGGCCUAACACAUGCAAGUCGAACGAGGGGCGGACGGGUGCGUAAUGUCUGGGAAACUGCCCGAUGGAGGGGGAUAAAUACUGGAAACUGUAGCUAAUACCGCAUACCAUCGGGUGUGCCCAGAGGGGAUUAGCUAGUAGGUGGGGUAACGGCUCACCUAGGCGACGAGCCCUAGCUGGUCUGAGAGGAAGACCAGCCACACUGGAACGGAGACACGGUCCAGACGCCUACGGGAGGCAGCAGUGGGGAAGAUUGCACAAUGGGCGCAAGCCUGAUGCAGCCAUGCCGCGUGUAUGAAGAAGGCCUUCGGGUUGUAAAGCACUUUCAGCGAGGAGGCGUUACUCGCAGAAGAAGCACCGGCUAACUCCGUGCCAGCAGCCGCGGUAAUUC
rnacentral:rRNA from 1 species